rnacentral:tRNA from 1 species
GCACCCGUAAUUCAAUGGUAGAAUGCCAGCUUCCCAAGCUGGAUACGUGGGUUCGAUUCCCAUCGGGUGCU